GGAAGGUUGGGCAGAGGCUGCAGGCUGCAGAGGCGCAGAGGGGCCGCGGGGCAGAGCGAUCCCGCCAGAAAGCGGCUCUCCAGCCUCUGCGCCUUCGGGAACCACACGGCCCGCGGGCGCCCUGGAAAGGCCCCUACAGGGGCCUCUGCACACAUACUCACAAUAACUCUUCACCGGAAUGUAUUAUCUCCAUUCUGUAGAUAAGGGAACUAAAACCCAGAGCUGCAGGAGACUGGCCAGAGGUCACACAAGUGACGGAGAUGGUGUCAGUGAGGUUCAGAGAGUGUGUGGAACUUCUCUGAGUCUAAGUGGAUUGGGCACAGUACUGCCUGCUUCUGAAUCCAGCAAGGACAGAGAAUACCAGGCAGUCUCUGAAACGCACCAAGAAACUAAUAGAGAAGGUGGCAUUCGACAUCUGCAGUGGCAUGAUGCUCUUGAAAUCACAGUAAGAAGAGAGGGAACACCCAGUAAGGGAAGAAAACAGAAAUCAUCUAUAAGGUGGAAUCUACAGUGCAUGCAUCCAAUAUGACUUCUGCCUUUUUAAAACAGGCACCCUGUGUCUUCUGAAGAACUCCUGUUUCUUUGUGCCAUCAACUUAAGAAUCUAAUGGGGAUGUUGAUCAUUAAAGCUUGACACCCAGU